UCUUCCGUAGUAUAGUGGUCAGUAUGUGAGCUUGUCAUCCUCGAUGAGGGAGACUUCGCUCGAGACCCGGGUUCAAUUCCCGGCGGGAGAG